rnacentral:rRNA from 1 species
UACAGAGGGGGCAAGCGUUAUUCGGAAUUAUUGGGCGUAAAGGGCGCGUAGGCGGCCUGGCAAGGGGAAGGUGAAAUCCCUCGGCUUAACCGAGGAACUGCCCUCCAAACUGCUUGGCUUGAGUCCGGGAGAGGUGAGUGGAAUUCCCAGUGUAGCGGUGAAAUGCGUAGAUAUCAGGAGGAACACCGGUGGCGAAGGCGGUUCUCUGGGCAUGAUCUGACGCUGAGGAGCGAAAGUGUGGGGAGCGAACAGG